UCGACCUCAGAUCASACGAGACGACCCGCUGAAUUUAA
rnacentral:rRNA from 1 species